UCAGAUCAGAAAGUUGAGAAACAAGGAGAUCCCGAUGGUGAAAGUCCUUUGGAAUCACCACAACAUCGAAGAGUGUACCUGGGAGACACGGGAGUCCAUGCUCCAGCAAUAUCCUCAUCUCUUCUAAGGUGAGUUUUAUGUGCCUUGUUGUGUGUUUAUGUUUUUCUGCCAUGCUAUGUUUGUUUGGUGAACAUUCGGGGACGAAUGUUCUUAAGAGGGGAAGAAUGUAAUACCCGG
rnacentral:lncRNA from 1 species